CACACACAACAAGGUCAUGAGCACUACAGGACACCCCAUCCAAACACACACACACACACACACACACACACACACACACACAUAACAAGGUCAUGAGCACUACAGGACACCCCAGCCAAACACACACACACACACACAACAACAACAAGGUCAUGAGCACUACAGGACACCCCACACAAAACACACACAACAUAAGGUCAUGAGCACUACAGGACACCCCAGCCAAACACACACACACACACACACACACACACACACACACACACA